UAGAUAUUCUUUAGGUCUUAACUUGCGCCUCGAGUUAUCUCUCUCUCUACUCUCUGGUAUCAUAAAAAUCGUGAUAUCAAAAGGAGAACAGGAGGGGUUAAAUCUCGUUUCUACAUAUCGUGAAAUCAAACUCUGUACGGACGGAGAUCGCGUAGUGGAAGAUGAAGAUUUUCGUUAAAACUCUCAAAGGAACCACCUUCGACAUCGAAGUUAAACCCGAGGACACGGUUUGUUUUUUCCUCUGCCCUUUUCAUUUUCUCAAUUGGAAUGGCUUAAUUGGAGUAGUUUUAUUUUGAAUUUCUCAAUUUCAUGUUUUGUUGAUGCGUUUUUUCUAUUUGUUAUUGAAGGACUGGGUGAUUAGGGUUUAUGUAUCUGUUUUUGUUGUGUAUUGUGUUGUUUUACGUUUGCCGAGAAUGCGAUGAGAGUGUAAAUUAAUUGAUUACUGUGAAUUCUUUGUCUAAAUUUUAGUGUUUUGAGUGCUUUUUCUUUUCUUUUUUUUGUUUCUCUUGGUUUCGUCAAGGUUUAAUUUGUCUCUGUAAGAGGUGUUAGGUAGGUUCGCUUGUUGAAUUGUGUGGGACAUGAAGAGAGAUUGUUUGAAUUUAGGUAUUGAAGCGUAAACCUCGCUAAUUGUUUACUUCAG
rnacentral:lncRNA from 1 species